GAUGAACGCUGGCGGCGUGCCUAAUACAUGCAAGUAGAACGCUGAAGCUUGGUGCUUGCACCGAGCGGAUGAGUUGCGAACGGGUGAGUAACGCGUAGGUAACCUGCCUCUUAGCGGGGGAUAACUAUUGGAAACGAUAGCUAAUACCGCAUAAAAGUCGAUAUCGCAUGAUAUUGAUUUGAAAGGUGCAAAUGCAUCACUAAGAGAUGGACCUGCGUUGUAUUAGCUAGUUGGUGAGGUAACGGCUCACCAAGGCGACGAUACAUAGCCGACCUGAGAGGGGGACCGGCCACCCUGGGCCGGGGACCGGCCCCAGACCCCACCGGGAGGCGCCGGAGGGGAACUUUGGGCAUGGGGGCAACCCUGACCGAGCAACGCCGCGUGAGUGAAGAAGGUUUUCGGAUCGUAAAGCUCUGUUGUAAGAGAAGAACGAGUGUGAGAGUGGAAAGUUCACACUGUGACGGUAACUUACCAGAAAGGGACGGCUAACUACGUG
rnacentral:rRNA from 1 species